UUGGGUUCACUAGUGCUCCUGAGGCACAUUU
rnacentral:piRNA from 1 species